CAUUUGAAGUUUACUUUGGAUGAUGAGAGUGGCGCACGGGUGAGUAACACGUAGCUGACCUGCCCUUCACAGGGGGAUAACCUGUCGAAAGACGGGCUAAUACCGCGUAGGCACUGGGGAGUUAGAGGUCCCGAGUGUAAAGCGUAAGGAAGCGGUGAAGGAGGGGGCUGCGGUCCAUCAGCUAGUUGGCAGGGUAAUGGCCUACCAAGGCGACGACGGAUAGGGGGCCUGAGAGGGUGACCCCCCACACUGGAACUGAGACGCGGUCCAGACUCCUACGGGAGGCAGCAGUAAGGAAUAUUGCACAAUGGACGCCAGUCUGAUGCAGCAACGCCGCGUGGAGGAUGACGGCCUUCGGGUUGUAAACUCCUUUUCUGAGGGACGAGCAAGGACGGUACCUCAGGAAUAAGUCUCGGCUAACUACGUGCCAGCAGCCGCGGUAAAACGUAGGAGGCGAGCGUUAUCCGGAUUUACUGGGCGUAAAGCGCAGGCAGGUGGUGGCUUAAGUCAUGCGUGAAAGCUCCCGGCUCAACUGGGAGAGGUCGUGUGAAACUGGGUCACUGGAGGCAGGUAGAGGCAGACGGAAUUCCGGGUGGAGUGGUGAAAUGCGUAGAGAUCCGGAGGAACACCAGUGGCGAAGGCGGUCUGCUGGACCUGACCUGACACUCAGAUGCGAAAGCAUGGGGAGCGAACGGGAUUAGAAACCCCGGUAGUCCAUGCCGUAAACGAUGCACACUAGGCGUUGGGGAUGCACUGCAUCUUCAGUGCCGCAGCAAACGCGGUAAGUGUGCCGCCUGGGGAGUACGGCCGCAAGGCUAAAACUCAAAGGAAUUGACGGGGGCCCGCACAAGCAGCGGAGCGUGUGGUUUAAUUCGAGGCUACGCGAAGAACCUUACCUGGGCUUGACAUACAGGUGGUACCAAACCGAAAGGGGCGGGACCUUCGGGAGCCUGUACAGGUGCUGCAUGGCUGUCGUCAGCUCGUGCCGUGAGGUGUUCGGUUAAGUCCGAAAACGAGCGCAACCCUCGGCGUUAGUUACAAGUGUCUAACGCGACUGCCCGGGGCAACCGGGGGGAAGGUGGGGAUGACGUCAAGUCAGCAUGGCCUUUAUGUCCAGGGCUACACACACGCUACAAUGGCGACUACAAUGGGCAGCGAAGCCGCGAGGUGGAGCGAAUCCUCAAAAGGUCGUCUCAGUUCGGAUUGCAGGCUGCAACUCGCCUGCAUGAAGUUGGAGUUGCUAGUAACCGUGGGUCAGCUACACUACGGUGAAUACGUUCCCGGGCCUUGUACACACCGCCCGUCACGUCAUGGGAGCUGGUCAUGCCUGAAGCCGGUGGGCUAACCGAAAGGGGGCAGCCGUCAAAGGCAGGGCUGGUGACUGGGACGAAGUCGUAACAAGGUAGCCGU
rnacentral:rRNA from 1 species